rnacentral:rRNA from 1 species
GAAUAUGGGGGGACCAUCCUCCAAGGCUAAAUACUCCUGACUGACCGAUAGUGAACCAGUACCGUGAGGGAAAGGCGAAAAGAACCCCGGCGAGGGGAGUGAAAAAGAACCUGAAACCGUGUACGUACAAGCAGUGGGAGCACAGAGCAAUCUGUGUGACUGCGUACCUUUUGUAUAAUGGGUCAGCGACUUAUAUUCUGUAGCAAGGUUAACCGAAUAGGGGAGCCGAAGGGAAACCGAGUCUUAACUGGGCGUUAAGUUGCAGGGUAUAGACCCGAAACCCGGUGAUCUAGCCAUGGGCAGGUUGAAGGUUGGGUAACACUAACUGGAGGACCGAACCGACUAAUGUUGAAAAAUUAGCGGAUGACUUGUGGCUGGGGGUGAAAGGCCAAUCAAACCGGGAGAUAGCUGGUUCUCCCCGAAAGCUAUUUAGGUAGCGCCUCGUGAAUUCAUCUCCGGGGGUAGAGCACUGUUUCGGCAAGGGGGUCAUCCCGACUUACCAACCCGAUGCAAACUGCGAAUACCGGAGAAUGUUAUCACGGGAGACACACGGCGGGUGCUAACGUCCGUCGUGAAGAGGGAAACAACCCAGACCGCCAGCUAAGGUCCCAAAGUCAUGGUUAAGUGGGAAACGAUGUGGGAAGGCCCAGACAGCCAGGAUGUUGGCUUAGAAGCAGCCAUCAUUUAAAGAAAGCGUAAUAGCUCACUGGUCGAGUCGGCCUGCGCGGAAGAUGUAACGGGGCUAAACCAUGCACCGAAGCUGCGGCAGCGACACUGUGUGUUGUUGGGUAGGGGAGCGU